rnacentral:rRNA from 1 species
CCUACGGGAGGCUGCAGUAGGGAAUUUUGCGCAAUGGGCGAAAGCCUGACGCAGCAACACCGCGUGAAUGUUGAGCCCUUCGGGGUGUAAAGUUCUGUCUAUAGGGACGAAUUUUGACUGUAACUAUAACGGAUGGACCGGCUAACUCCGUGCCAGCAGCCGCGGUAAUACGGGGGGUGCAAGCGUUGUCCGGAAUCAUUGGGCGUAAGCCGUUCGUAGGCGGCAAGGUAAGUCUGAUGUUAAAGCCCGCGGCUCAACUCCGGUUCGGCAUUGGAUACUAUCGAGCUAGAAUGUGGUAGAGGUAAAGGGAAUUCCUGGUGUAGCGGUGAAAUGCGUAGAUAUCAGGAGGAACAUCGGUGGCGAAAGCACGUUACUGGACCAUUAUUGACGCUGAGGAACGAAAGCCAGGGGAGCAAAUGGGAUUAGAUACCCGGGUAGUC